UACAGAGACUGCAAGCGUUAUUCGGAUUCACUGGGCGUAAAGGGUGCGCAGGCGGCCGGGUGUGUCAGAUGUGAAAUCCCGAGGCUUAUCCUCGGAACUGCGUCUGAAACUACUCGGCUAGAGUAUUGGAGAGGGUAACGGAAUUCACGGUGUAGCAGUGAAAUGCGUAGAUAUCGUGAGGAACACCAGAGGCGAAGGCGGUUACCUGGACAAUUACUGACGCUCAGGCACGAAAGCAUGGGGAGCAAAAGGG
rnacentral:rRNA from 1 species